rnacentral:tRNA from 1 species
GACUUUAUUUAUAAACUGUUUUGAAAGCAGCUUAAAAGAUUAUGCUUUAAAGUCA